rfam:Schistosoma mattheei strain Denwood, Zambia genome assembly, scaffold: SMTD_scaffold0000092
AUCCGGCUGAUGAGUCCCAAAUAGGACGAAACUAACGUCUUGGAU